ACCCCAAAAUAUGCUAAGUUGAAAUCCAUGUUUCAUCAAAUAAGUCAAACAGUUUUUAAAACUGCCUUGUACUUACUGCUCAGUGAUCAUGACAACCCGUAAGUCAAAAGUUAAGACUGGUGUUUCAUUAUUUCAAUAUCAAAGAAACAUUUAAUUCUGAAACAAAGGUCAGUUUUGUGUCCCGUCCUUCUUAAGACCUCACUCUGAGGCAAGCUGUUCUAAUCGGCAUAAUUCAAAUUAGAUGCCUUUAUAAAGCCCCUAAGUUUAAAAUAUUUGCAAAUUUGAUCAAACAGCUAAGUUGGAAGCAAAUACUAAUCAAAUAUACAUAGAAAAAUCUGGAGAGUAUUAUUACAAAGUAUUAAUUGUGGUUGUCUCUGAAAGGUGGGAUGGGUUGGGGGAGGGUGGGUAAAAAGAGCUGACUUCCCUUCAUACAUUUCUGUAGUGUUUGAAUAUUUUACAACAAACUUAUUUCUUUUACAAUCAGGAAAAAGGUGAAUAUAUUUUUAUUUUGAAAAAAUAAAGUUAACAACAAAGCUUAAACUAACAUCUCCAGAUAUUUUCAACUCUGCUUAUUUACCUAGAUGAGUCCUUCUACUUUUUAAUUUCCUUUAACUGAGGAGACUUAAAUAAUUAAAAGGCUAGAGAAUUCAUCUAAACAUUCAAAUAGUUACAAUUUAGCAUACACUGUAAUACUGAUACUUUCAAUUAUGAUAUUAAAAGCUCUCUGUAUGAUUUUUUUCCCCUCUAAGGUAACAUCAAGGCUUCUGAAACUCUCUCAAAGGAUCUAUUUUUAAUUUCUCUCUUCCAGCAACAAAGCACAUUGGACUAACUCAAGGACAGCACCACUUCCCACCACUCUAAACCACAGAAAUGUUAACCUUAAAAAAAAAAAAUGAAGGUCAAAGAAAUAGAAAUCUACAGAUGCCAGAAGCAAGGAGAGAAAUCAAAGCAAGAGCAGAAAAAGGAAGCUGAUGUGCUGGUGGCCUGCUUGGUUUUACCUGCUUCUCUGUUCACUGUACCUGACUGUAGGAUAUAUGCAGGCUCCCUCCCGACGCUGUGGAGCACUUAGCACCAGCUGAUAUAUUUGUUGUCUAUCUAUCCCACUGGAAUGCUAGUUUCUUGAGGGCAGGGACUCUGUCUGCUUGGUUCCUGCUAUAUGCCCACUGCUCACCCCAGAGCUUGACACAUACCGGCCCCGGUGGUCUAGUGGUUAAGACUUGGAACUCUCACCACUGUGGCCCAGGUUCAUUUCCCAGUCAGGGAACCACACCACUGUCUGUCGGUUGUCAUAGUAUGGUGGCUGCCAUACUAUGGUGGCUGAGUUGCUGUGAUGCUGAAAGCUAUGCUACCGGUAUUUCAAAUACCAGGAGGGUCACACAUGGUGGACAGGUUUUAGCGGAGCUUCCAGACCAAGACAGACUAGGAAGAAGGACCUGG